AAGAAAACCCCUCCCCUUCAAAUGCUUAAAUAAAUCUAUACCACGUGAGAGCCCACAAUUGGAAAAAGUUAUACUUAAUAAAAAAAAAACAUUACAUUGAAAGCUCUACUUAUGGAGUAGGCCUACGUUGUUCUUAAUUUCAUUUGCAUGUAAUAGAUUUUGCGUUUGCAUAAAAACUAAAUAUGUAGGCUACCGUAAAAGGUCAUUUUAAGCAGGUCUCAGUGUUUAUUUCACUCAUGAAAAAAACGAACCCUUGAGAGAAUCUUUAAGCGCGUGAAUUAACAAUUUUCUCAUCAAAAGCGAUGACGUAAAGUGGGUUGGGAACUAGGCCUACAUGAAAAAAUGGCAACUAAGAAAAUAAAUUAGAUUGCCUAAAACAAAAUGUAAUGUCUUAAAACCGAAUAUAGCUUUAGUGUAACCUAUGUGAUUGAUUAAAAUAACAAGAAAACUGCUUGCCCUCGGUAGCAAUGCAUUUUGGACCCUGUGUGGGUCUUCAGAGAAAAUAACCUUUCAACGUUGUCAUUUUGCCUGUAAUUGUUUGUGAACAACACCAUCGUUUAUACAAAUUUUAGCAUUUUUUUUCCAUAGCAGCGGAAUACUUUAUAAAAGUGGUAAAGAGGCUCUGAUUUAACCGUGUAAUAUAUUUUCAUGAAUAUUAAUGAAUGACAUAAUCCUCACUUGGAUUUCCAUUUCAGAAUAAUAGUGCAGUUCAUCCAAACGAGGCUCUCCUCUCAAAUAAAGUUUUAUAUGAAUUAAACUGGAGGUGGAAUCGACCAUCUAUCUAUAUCCUAUAACCUAAAAUAAAAUAAAAAAUAAAAAAAUGCAAUAGAUAAAUGUGCAUAAAGAAUGGAAAAUACAAAUUAUAUUUAUAUUCGGGAUUAAUUGUUGAGACCGUCAUGAGGCGUCUGUCUCCACUGCAACCGCCUCGGCUGGUGUUUUGUUGAGCUCAACUCUAAUUGUAGCCGGAGCUGCAAUAAUCAAUCACGAGCAAAUAAUCAAAGGACUGUCAAGAACAUUAGUUAACUAAAUGUGAUAUCAAACGAAGGCACUUUAACAUCCUCUUUGGAUCUUUAGAAGGGCCUAAUCGAAACAACGACAUAACAGCGCUAAAAUAAAAGCUGUUAAUGGUUGGAGGCAAAUCAUGAGCUUUUCGAAUGACAACAGGUUUGCACUUUACACUUUACAUUUAUUCACACAAAUUAUGGGUGCCAUUUUAUAUGGUAGGCUUUGGCUAUGAACGAAAUAAUAUUAGUAAUUCAAGGUAAAUUCCAAUUGGCAAGUCAAUUAAGUUUUUGUCAGGGCCAAACAGGCCCAAUGCAUAUUACAAUGGCCAGGGAAAAAUAUAAAAAGCGAUAUUUAUUGGCUAAUCUCACACGUUUGCUCCAAAUAUUGUAUGACUCAAGCGCCCAACAUAUAGGCCUAGACCUGUCAACGCCAAUGUGAUCGAUCGCACACAAGUAUCAAGAUAUCAAAUAGCAAAAUCCCAUUGUGAAAAGAGUAUUGGACCUAAUCCCAAAUUGCAGUAGAAUUUUCUUAAUGCUAAGCCCGUAAAACCAGGGAUCAGGGCAACUCAAGGGGUGGGGGUGUAAGGUUUGUCUCUUUAGCUGGCAGGAUUGGAGAAGGUCGCGUAUGUUGUCGGUGCUUAUUAAAACGAUGAUGCAUAAAAUCCCCCAAGUUGUCAGAAAGCAUGGGCACACGGAGUCGGUAUUCUCUCCCUCUGCCUUUUGUAAGGAAAACCUGUGGCUGUGGAACGGGCUUUGCAAAAUCCACCCACGAUCAACACCUGCGUGCGCGGUAAUAGCAACAGAUCUCAAAGCUUGCACAUCUGCAAUACAUAGGGGGGCAAUCCGUUCUCCCAGAAAGAUACCUAUGGCGUGUAUGCUACAGCUAUAGCACUACGCAAGAAGACCAGCAUCUUAUUUCGAAGUUUUUAAACUCAAAAAUACUUUAUCUAUGGGUUUAUAGUCGGUGUCAAGGAUUGGGUGGCUGUUUUUUUUUCUAUUUUGGAUACACGCGUAAAAGUGAAGCAUUACGCAAUGGUGGAAAUACACAGAGAGUGCAGCAGGAGGGAAGGGAAUUGCCAUCCAGCCUUAUCUCCAGUUCCAGUCAACUAGAGGCCCUGAAAGAGUGUGCACCGUCAUCAGAGCUGGCCAUUUGAUAGGAUUCUGGCACUGCACCUAAUCAAUCUAUGGCAUAGAGCUGCCAGAAGACCUGUAACAAAGCUCAAAGAGCCUCACAAAAUGGCCUAGUGCACGGGAUAAGCCCCUGCACAGGAUUACAUAUUGAUUUUGAAUGUAUAAAAAAACUACAACUUAUCAUACAAAACCCGAGACGCAGUACAAAAGUAGGCAGUAGUCUGUGCAUGAAUCCCCCCCUUUAGGAGCAGGAGCGUCAACUUUCAAAUACGGAGACCCCGAGCAUGAACCAAAAAGCAAAAUCAAAGGCCAGGGGUGAGGUGUGGUAGCAGCGCAUUGUUGCAGGGAAUCACUACAACUCCACCUUGCAUUUCAAAUAAAAUAAAAUACGAUUUUACUUGUCACAUGCGCCGAAUACAACAGGUGUAGACCUUACAGUGAAAUGCUUACUUACAAGCCCUUAACCAACAAUGCAGUUUUAAGAAAAUACCCCCCCCCCCCCCCCCCCCAAAAAAAAAAGUAAGUGAUAAGAAUACAAAUGAUUAAAGAGCAGCAGUAAAUAACAAUAGCGGGGCUAUAUACAGGGGGUACCGGUACAGAGUCAAUGUGUGGGGGCACUGGUGUCGAGGUAAUUGAGGUAAUAUGUACAUGUAGGUAGAAUUAUAAAAGUGACUAUGCAUAGAUAAUAACAGAGAGUAGCAGCAGCAUAAAAGUGGGGGGCAUUGCAAAAAUUCUGGGUAGCCAUUUGAUUAGCUGUUCAGCAUUCUUAUGGAUUGGGGGAAGUAGCUGUUUAGAAGCUCCUUGGACCUAGACGUGGCUCUCCGGGACUGCUUGCCGUGCGGUAGCAGAGAGAACAGUCUAUGACUAGGGUGGCUGGAGUCUUUGACACUGGCUUUGACACUGGCUGAUGUAGAGGUCUUGGAUGGCAGAAAGCUUGGCCCCAGUGAUGUACUGGGUCGUACGCACUACCCUCUGUAGUGACUUGCGGUCGGAGGCUGAGCAGUUGCCUUCCAAGGCAGUGAUGUAACCCGUCAGGAUGCUCUCAAUGGUGCAGCUGUAGGUUUUGUCGUGCCCUCUUCACGGCUGUCUUGGUGUGCCUGGACCAUGUUAGUUUGCUGGUGAUGUGGACGCCAAGGAACUUGAAGCUCUCAAUCUGCUCCACUACAGCCCCGUCGAUGAGAAUGGGGACAUGCUAGGUCCUCCUUUUCCUGUAGUCCACAAUAAUCUCCUUUGUCUUGAUCACGUUGAGGGAGGGGUUGUUGUCCUUGCACCACAUGGUCAGGUCUCUGACCUCCUCCCUAUAGGCUGUCUCAUCGUUGUCGGUGAUCAGGCCUACCACUGUUGUGUCAUCAGCAAACGUAAUGAUGGUGUUGGAGUCGUGCCUGGCCGUGCAGUCAUGAGUAAACAGGGAGUACAGGAAGGGACUGAGCACCCACCCCUGAGGGGCCCCCGUGUUGAGGAUCAGCGUGGCGGAUGUGUUGUUACCUACCCUUACCACCUGGGGGCGGCCUGUCAGGAAGUCCAGGAUCCAGUUGCAGAGGGAGGUGUUUAAUCCCAGGUCCUUAGCUUUGUGAUGAGGUUUGAGGGAACUAUGGUGUUGAACGCUGAGCUGUAGUCAAUGAAUAGCAUUCUCACAUAGGUGUUCCUUUUGUCCAGGUGGGAAAGGGCAGAGCGGAGUGCAAUAGAGAUUGCAUCAUCUGUGGAUCUGUUGGUGCAGUAUGCAAAUUGGAGUGGGUCUGGGGUUUCUGGGAUAAUUGUGUUGAUGUGAGCCAUGACCAGCCUUUCAAAGCAUUUCAUGGCUACAGACGUGAGUGCUAUGGGUCGGUAGUCAUUUUGGCAGGUUACCUUAAGUGUUCUUGCUCACAAGGACUAUGGUGGUCUGCUUGAAACAUGUUGGUAUUAAAGACUCAGACAGGGAGAGGUUGAAAAUGUCAGUGAAGACAGUUGCCAGUUGGUCAGCGCAUGGUCGGAGUACAUGUCCUGGUAAUCCGUCUGGCCCAGCGGCCUUGUGAAUGUUGACCUUUAAAGGUCUUACUCACAUUGGCUGCGGAUCACACAGUCGUCCGGAACAGCUGAUGCUGUCAUGCAUGUUUCAGUGUUAGAUGCCUCAAAGCGAGCAGAGAAGUUAUUUAGCUCAUCUGGACGGCUUGUGUCACUGGGCAGCUCUCGGCUGUGCUUCCCUUUGUAGUCUGUAAUAGUUUGCAAGCCCUGCCACAUCCGACGAGCGUCGGAGCCGGUGUAGUACGAUUCGAUCUUAGUCCUGUAUUGAUGCUUUGCCUGUUUGAUUGUUUGUCGGAGGGCAUAGCGGGAUUUCUUAUAAGCUUCCAGGUUAGAGUCCCGCUCCUUGAAAGCAGCUCUACCCUUUACCUGUAAUCCAUGGCUUCUGGUUCGGGUAUGUACGUACAGUCACUGUGGAGACAACGUCCUCGAUGCACUUACUGAUAAAGCCAGUGACUGAUGUGGUGUACUCCUCAAUGCCAUCGGAAUAAUUCCGGAAAAUAUUCCAGUCUCUGUUAGCAAAACAGUCCUGUAAUUUAGCAUCUGCUUCAUCUGACCACUUUUUUAUAGACCGAGUCACUGGUGAUUCCUGCUUACAUUUUUGCUUGUAAGCAGGAAUCAGGAGGAUAGAGUUAUGGUCAGAUUUGCGAAAUGGAGGGCGAGGGAGAGCUUUGUACGCGUCUCUGUGUGUGGAGUAAAGGUGGUCUAGAAUUUUUUUUCUCUCGUUGCACAUUUAACAUACUGAUAGAAAUGAGGUAAAACUGAUAUAAGUUUCUCUGAAUUAAAGUUCCCGGACACUAGGAGCACCGCCUCUGGAUGAGCAUUUUCCUGUUUGCUUAUGGCGGAUUACAGCUCAUUGAGUGUGGUUUUAGUGCCAGCUUCGGUCUGUGCUGGUAUGUAGACAGCUACAAAAAAUACAGAUGAAAACUCUCUUGGUAAAUAGUGGUCUACAGCUUAUCAUGAGAUACUCUUCCUCAGGCAUAAAAACCUUGAGACUUCCUUAGAUAUCAUGCACCAGUUAUUGUUUACAAAUAUGCAUAGGACCCCGCCCCGUGUUUUACCAGAGGCUGCUGUUCUGUCCUGCCAAAAGAGUGUAUAACCCGCCAGUUGUAUGUUCUUAAUGCCGCCGUUCAGCCACGACUAUGUGAAACAUAAGAUAUUACACUUUUUCAUGUCCUGUUGGUAGGAUAUAUACGUGCUUUCAGUUAGUCACAUUUAUUUUCCAGCGACUGAACGUUAGCUAGCAGGAUGGAAGGCAAGGGCAGAUUAGGACAAGGCACCCUGAUCUCCUUCCGUGAAACCUCUGUUUCCUUUCCAGCGAAUCACGGGGGAUCUGGGCCUGGCCGGGUGUCUGUAGUAGUAUAUCGCUCCCAUCUGACUCAUUGAAGAAGAACUCCUCAUCCAAUUUGAGGUGAAUAAUCCCAGUUCUGAUGUCCAGAAGCUCUUUUCGGUCAUAAGAAACGGUAGCAGCAACAUUAUGUACAAAACAAGUUACGAACGACGCUAAAAAAAACAAAAAGAACUAGCAUGGUUGGUUAAGAGCCGAUAAAACGGCAGCCCUCCCCUCCGGAGCCAUUUUGAGGUCAAUAUGGUGGUUACACAUAUUACUCAAAUGACAGACAGUUGCCUCCCUUGAAGCAGGGCAGUGUAAAACAGUAUUGUCUUGUUGAGCAUACAGUAUGAAUGGUAUUAGCAGAGCAAUGUUUUUGAAAUGGCUGAAAUGUGUAGACAUUUUCAUAAUAUUUUAGACUUGUUUUGAGUUUUUACCUGAAAUUGUUGCAGUAGCUGCCGGCUGCACUGAGCCACGUAAAACUAUGGAAGCCCAUCCUCACCACCAAAAACAUGUCAAAUGUACAAAUAGGCUUCGUUUUUUGUCUUCAUUUGUAACAUUGAGGGAUGAUUUCAGAGGUGGCAGGUCCCAGAGUAGGUGAAGGUGUGGGUGGGAAUUGUUUUCCUGGGGCUCAGAGUUUUUCCAAAUCUGGUAGUAGGCUAACCUAACCAUCUCCGGACCCUAGUUGUAGUGUAUGACAUUGUAAUAAAUCAGCAGAAUUUUUUAAAAAUGUUUAUGGGCUUUAUAUGGGCUAUGGUGGGACCAGAUAGCUCUUCUAAUCAUAUGGUUAAAAAAAAAUCCAGGAAAAACUCCUGGCCCUAGGGAGGAUGAAAACAUUAAAACCCUUCACACAGACAAAGAGAACAACUGCGAUUGGCCAAAAACGAACAAAAAACAAACAAGGCUGAGUUUGCUGUAUGCAAGGUUGCAUGGUAUAGGCCUUUGCAUCUGUAAUUAAAAAGAUACUCAUACAUUAUGUCAUCACUGUUGUGUUGAUUGAUAAAUUCCAGUCAAUCAUUUUGGAUUAAAAAGGCCAAGGCAGCCUAGCCACCAGAAGUGUGAAUAUACGAAUAUAAUAUAAACCCAAUUUGAUCACAUUCACAUUUUCUCAGAACACAAAUAAAUGGGCCUAUUUAAGGCUCUAAGUACAUUUAAGCUAUUAAAAACAUGACGCUAUGUUCCUCCUGGCCCAGAUAGGAUCAGAGCGCACAGGCUUCUCUUGGCUACCUGCAGCUGUGGUUGUUAUCAGUAGGCUACAGUUGAUCAGACUGAAGCACAGACUAAUUGUGCACGUUGACAAAUCAUAAGGGAAACUGUAUUACAUUUUUUGGGUGGCGGUUAUGGGCUUCCAUAUAAAACAGCUUGUUGGGGUGAAUUCACACAUACCCACGUUUUCAGUCGCAAUUUGCUUUCAACACAUGUAAUGAUUUGCAUGAUAUUGAUAAAAAUGAAGUCUGGUCUUUUAUAACGUUGUAAGGUAGGCCUACUGUACUUUUAUAUUUGUAUUUGAUGGUUCAUCGUAAAUUCUUGUUUGGCUAACGUGACUUGAUGAAGACUAGCUGUUAUAGCAAUUCUGUGCUUUGGUCUUGAAGCUAAAAUGCAAGUGUAGCCUACAGGCGUAUAAAAUAAACCCUUUAAUUGUUUGCACAUA